UAAUACGGGGGGUGCAAGCGUUGUUCGGAUUUACUGGGCGUAAAGGGCGCGUAGGCGGACCAUCAAGUCGGGUGUGAAAACUGGCAGCUUAACUGCCAGCCUGCAUUCGAUACUGGCGGUCUUGAGUACAGUAGAGGAAAGCGGAAUUCCAGGUGUAGCGGUGAAAUGCGUAGAUAUCUGGAAGAACACCAGUAGCGAAGGCGGCUUUCUGGGCUGAUACUGACGCUGAAGCGCGAAGGCUAGGGUAGCAAACAGGAUUAGAUACCCUGGUAGUCCACGCAGUAAACGUUGAACACUAGGUGUAGCGGGUAUUGACCCCUGCUGUGCCGCAGUUAACGCCUUAAGUGUUCCGCCUGGGGAGUACGGCCGCAAGGUUA
rnacentral:rRNA from 1 species